rnacentral:rRNA from 1 species
CAGUAGCCGCGGGAAUACGGAGGGGGCUAGCGUUGUUCGGAAUUACUGGGCGUAAAGCGCACGUAGGCUGCUUUGUAAGUUAGAGGUGAAAGCCUGGUGCUCAACACCAGAACUGCCUUUAAGACUGCAGAGCUAGAACGUCGGAGAGGUGAGUGGAAUUCCGAGUGUAGAGGUGAAAUUCGUAGAUAUUCGGAAGAACACCAGUGGCGAAGGCGGCUCACUGGACGACUGUUGACGCUGAGGUGCGAAAGCGUGGGGAGCAAACAGGAUUAGAGACCCCUGUAGUCCCUGUCUCUUAUAC